UACUAUAUAUUACAUAUAUUGUAUGUGAGUGUAGUUACAUGAAUAUGGUUUUUAAAAAAUGAAGGUAAAAAUUACCUCAUUAGAGGAUUAGUGUGACCAGCUUUGUCGACAUAUCUCUUGGCUAACCAACGAGUUGCUUGCUACUGUACUGCAUUGCUUUUUUGUUUAUAUUAUGUUCUUAACUUCUAUGGUAGUCACGAGUAAUCACAUCCUAAUGUAAUCUUUAUGACUUUCAGAUACGACAGAAUCAGGCAGCAAGUACGAGAGGAGUAAAGGAGUUGCCUGUAAACCUCAGGCCGGUUGGGAAACACCUUCGUAGCGGGGGCGGCUAAUCCGCACGUCUCAGCUCUUCCCCGAAAGAGAAGCCACGACCAGAGAGCGAUGCGGAAUGGGGAGUGGACGCAGUUGCAGAAGGCAGACGGAGGAAGGAGGAAGGGAAGCUGGGACAGGAGCGUUGGCAAGCGUCCGUCUGUCCGUCUGUUCCCCGGUCUGCGCGUCCGUCUGCGUGCUCACUGCUGCUGC